rnacentral:rRNA from 1 species
UCAGAUUGAACGCUGGCGGCAGGCCUAACACAUGCAAGUCGAGCGGAAACGGCAGUAUUGAAGCUUCGGUGGAUUUACUGGACGUCGAGCGGCGGACGGGUGAGUAACGGCUGGGAACCUGCCCUGACGAGGGGGAUAACCGUUGGAAACGACGGCUAAUACCGCAUAAUGUCUUAGUUCAUUGAGCUGGGACCAAAGGUGGCCUCUACAUGUAAGCUAUCGCGUUGGGAUGGGCCCAGUUAGGAUUAGCUAGUUGGUAAGGUAAUGGCUUACCAAGGCAACGAUCCUUAGCUGGUUUGAGAGGAUGAUCAGCCACACUGGGACUGAGACACGGCCCAGACUCCUACGGGAGGCAGCAGUGGGGAAUAUUGCACAAUGGGGGAGACCCUGAUGCAGCCAUGCCGCGUGUGUGAAGAAGGCCUUCGGGUUGUAAAGCACUUUCAGC